GGAGAGGUGCCGGAGCGGUUGAACGGGACGGUCUCGAAAACCGUUGACUCCUUUGGGGUCCCUGGGUUCGAAUCCCAGCCUCUCCGCCA
rnacentral:tRNA from 1 species